rnacentral:lncRNA from 1 species
GUAAAACCUAGAGCAACUGUAUAGAAUUAAGAAAAAUGAAUAGACUAUUACGGGAAGUUGUUGCCACUUGUAAUGCAUUGCACCCCACCAGCAAAAGUUUAGAGGGUUGUAGAGUCACUACAAAUGGACAAUAGAGGUUCUUAGAAAUUUGGUUUGGUGCUUACUAAACCCUAAAAAACUUGUAAGAUGUGAACUGCCUAAUUUUUUUAAGUCAAUGUGGGGCUUUCAACACAACCUCUCACCUCAUGAUUCCUCACACAUAGGACUCGGCAUCUUAAGCAUGGACUAAAGCAAGUGCAAUAACAGGGAUCUCAACACACACCCUCAUGCUUGGAUAUUUGAAUAAUGAACAAAUCCAUCUAGAAUA